rnacentral:lncRNA from 1 species
UUCAAGGUUCAAAGGUUUUAAUUAUGGCCCUGACAUGCUGAGGGAAGAAGUGGAACGCUAUAAGAAAUUUGCUGAGAGGUUGGAACCCUUCAUCACAAAUACUGUACACUUCAUGAAUGAUGCUUUAUCUCAGAAAAAGAAGAUUCUGGUUGAAGGUGGUCAGGCAACUAUGUUGGACAUAGAUUUUGAAUACUGUACACUUCAUGAAUGAUGCUAUAUCUCAGAAAAAGAAGAUUUUGGUUGAAGGUGGUCAGGCAACUAUGUUGGACAUAGAUUUUGGAACAUACCCUUUUGUGAC